UACGUAGGCAGCAAGCGUUGUUCGGAGUUACUGGGCGUAAAGGGUGCGUAGGCGGCUUCUUAAGUCUGGUGUGAAAUCUCCCGGCUCAACUGGGAGGGUGCGCCGGAUACUGAGGGGCUAGAGUGUGGGAGAGGAAAGUGGAAUUCCUGGUGUAGCGGUGAAAUGCGUAGAUAUCAGGAGGAACACCGGUGGUGUAAACGGCUUUCUGGACCAUAACUGACGCUGAGACACGAAAGCGUGGGUAGCAAACAGG
rnacentral:rRNA from 1 species